AGGGUUAUAGCUCAGUGGUAGAGUGCAUGCUCAGCAUGCAUGAGGUCCUAGGUUCAAUCCCCAGUGCCUCCA
rnacentral:tRNA from 1 species